CAACUUUUGAGAUGCAAGUAGAUUACGAGGGCCUUUACCUUGUUCGCGUAAUAAAUGCUGUUGCCAAUGAAACAAUGGUGUUUGACAUCGAAAACCACAGAUUGACCAUUGUCGGACAAAAUGGGACCUAUUCCAAUCGUUCCUUUACAAAUUCUUUAACCCUAGCCCCAGGCCAAGUUAUUGACGUCUUGUUGUUUCCAAACCAAAAUGUUGGCCGUUAUUACAUCACUGCUCGAUCUUCCUCCAGCACACAUAUUACCAAUGGAAUGCUGCGAUACACCACCACUACCACUUUUUAAUAUAGGUAAAUAGUUUCCGUUGCUAAGAAAUAAUAAUAAGGUGAAUGUUGAAAUAAGAAAUUAAAUAUAAUGUGUGUAUGUUCCUUUAUAAUUUGUUGUGAUCCUUGUUCGUUGGUUGAACGAUGUGUUUUGAAUGUUGUAAUGGGAAAAUGUUCUUUAAUUAAAAUGUACAAUAUUUAUUCAUUAUUGUAAGACCCAUAGAGAUCCAACCAAUUGGAUCUUUGUUCCAAUUCAAUUACUUCAAAAAAUAAAUUAAAGAUACUUACAAUUGCAAAAGAAUAAUUUAAAAUUAUUAAAAAUUAAGGAAUAAUAUUUUUCUUUAAAAAACCAAACAUAAAAUUGAAAAAAAAAUCAAUUAUUGUUAAAAAUAAUAAAAAAUUCUACAUUUUGAUUUAUUUGAAAUAGAUAUAUAUUUUUAAUUAUAUUCCGAUUGAAUAGUUUUUAAUUCAAUCACUUCUUAUAAUAUCGUAUUUAUUUAAGGCUAAAAUUAAGUGACUGGUAAAUAGGGUUAGAAGUUAAAUAUUGCAUAAAUUUCAUACCAACAACAAAUAAUAUUGAAAAAGUUUAUACGUCAUCAAAAUUUUGUAAAAAUAAAUUUAAAUGAUGUCAUUUUUACUAUGCAAUAAUAAUAAAUUAUAUUAAAACCUUUUAUCUUCAGCAUAAUAAAAUGCUUAUUUCAAGUUUCCAAACAUGAGAGAGAGAGAGACUGAAGCAUUCGGGGAAAAAAUAGAAGCAUCGAAAUUAGGAUUGUGGACAAUGGGGCAUCUAAUCAGGCAGUGACUCGAUUGUAUAAUAAGAAUUGGGUUUGAUUUAGUUUCUAUAUUUAUAAAUUUAUAAAUGGAUUAGUUUUAUGUUUGUAUUAUGUUAAAAAGAAGUUUAAUCUUUGUAUUAAUAAAAAGAUUCAUACAAAGUUAAUAUUAUUUUGUAAAGGUAUACUUAUUUUUUUUUACCUUCCAAAUUAAUAAAAAAUUUUAUUAAAGUCAUCUUAGUCAUUUAUUUGAUUUUUCGUUUUAUUUAGCCUUUGAACUUGUAAUUUUUGUCAAAUCACCUCAAAUUUGAUGGAAAAGUUAAAGUUUUUUAACUUUAAUGAUAUGACAUAUGUUAAACUGAACGUCGAUAAUGGCAAUAUAGAAUGAUCGCAAAGCAAUAAGAAAGAAAAUUAAAACACACAGAUUUUACGUAGAAAUCCUUUCGGGAAAAAGCCACGAGUACAGGAGAAGAAAAUUCGCUAAUGUUGAAAAUGGAAUGAUACAAGAGGAGUUUCGAUUAUAUUGACCCCGACAACAGGAUGGGAGUGCGAUGUGUAGCAAGCCGGAGAGGGAGGCAAAGGGUUCUCAUCUUUCCCAACAAGAUGUAGGAAGACAAUAUGGCACUCCUAGGUUGUUUUCUGGUCGGCUUUCAUGUAUCUCUCACCCGUGGGAAUACGAAAUUUCGUCUUCAUGCAAAGGGUGGCCACCACCAUCUUCAUUAUCCUCAUAAUUGGCCUCUUGAAAAUGGCGCUGUAAGUCAUCGGGAGGUCAACCGCUAGAAAAUCCACCAUUUUUAUGGUGGUGUGCUCACCAUUUCCCAUUACCAAUGGAAGGAAAAAUGGACCCCUUAACCGCAAUGGGCUGGUUGGCAAAACUGUACACCGGGCUUGCAAGUUUGAGUUGGGCAUCCUUGAGCCUCAUUUGAUGAAAAGCAUUGGUCAUCAGAAUAUCCACAGAGCUGCCUGUGGUCACCCCAUAGGCUUAGUACUCUUAAAGGGUCACCCUUCCUCUUCAUGGUCCCUAGAGGUAUUUAUAAGCAGAGGUCCCGUGCAGGGUGGUGUUAACCUGUUAGACUUUUCAUCUAGCCAUCAUUAGAGAGCUCGUGGAAGGGGUGUCUUCAAUGGGACAAGGAUGUCUAUGACAAGAAAGAUCUUUUCAUUCAUUCUAAAGUUAAUGGGAUAAAGUAAUUGAGCCCACGUGCUAUUUGGUAACCAAACAACUUCACGUUCCCAAUGAAGAUAAAAUCAUCCAUUGUCCGGAUAGUCCUCCAAGGAGGGUGAGCUCACGGAUGACCGCUCGGCUUGUUGGUGGUAGGCUUACAUGUACAAGCAUCUUCUAGGCUUGUCACAUGUAUUGUCACGGAUGGGGGGUAUAACAAUCGUGAUGUUAGUGUUGGAAAAAAUCCUGUUCGAAAAUAAUUUUCUUGCAUAGCGAAAAAUACAAAUUUUGAAAAAAAGACCAGGUUUGUGAUAUUUAUAGCAAUAAACCCAAAAUCCGUACCUAUGUUUUCGGAUAGGCGGAUCCUUUUUGUUCUCAGCUUUCAACCAAACUAUCUUCUCCGUUAUUCUUGUACCACGAACUGCUUCGAGUGUGGGCUCGAACAAAUCAAAUCAAACACAAAACGAGAAAUAUUUUCUUUACUUCUAGUAGGAAAGUAAAUCUCUCUUAAAUUUAAACCAGUAAAAUUGUAAUUCUCAGAAAAUAGAAUUUAUUCUUAAAAUAAAUUUCCACUACUUUCUGUAAGAAUAGCAAUAUUGAAAACUUUAGAGAAAAUUGUGUUUUUCUAUUUCUAUUGGUGUUAUUUGAAGCCUACCGGUGUCAUCUAUUCAUAGGAAGAGUUGGUAGAAUCCUGGUUGAAGUGGUAGAAUACAAAUAAAAUUAUUUUGAUAGAAAAAAUUCCAACUCCCUAUUAUUUAGGAAGAGGGUUGGCAACCCUAGAUGGGAAUACUAAGGUUUGUCGUCCCAUGUAUUCCAUAUAAAGGGAGUUUGACAUUUCCUGUACUGGAUCCAAUUAUAUGUACUUUUUGGACUUUAACCCAACACUUUAUAAUUUAUUCCAACCUAGCACAUGUUUUUUUUUAUUUACCAAAUUAAAUAUUAUUUGCUCCAUUAAUUUAAAUUAAUUAAUUUCUCAAUUAAAUAAUUUUCUCAAUCCAAUUCUAAUUCUGUUAAAAUCAUGACAAAUAACUACCAAUUAAUUUAAAUCCAUUCUCGAACUUCAAUUAUUUAUUUCGUUCUGAAUUCGUGAACAAAUCUCAACCAUUGUUUGAAUCUGUGUAUAUAUCUUAUAAAAUAAAAUAUGUAUUUUUAAGCAACCUCGAGGUUGUAGAAACAAAAAGGGAAAAUGAAAUCUGCGUCAAUAUAUAUCCAUAUAAGUAUGGGUAAAUUAUACUGUAGGUUACUCGAUUAUGCCUAAAUAUCUUUUUAGUCAUCCGAUUAUAAAAAGUUACAAAAUGCUUAUUCAAUUAAUCACAUUUAUCAUUUUAGUCCAAUUCCGUUAUCUAUCAUUAACUUUGUAACGAAGAGAUUAGGUGAGAAAUCAAUCAACUAUAAAAAAUAAUAAAAUGAUUUACAUUACUAUGCAAAUGGUAAUACAAUAAGAUAUGUCCACGGACAACAUCCAUCCUAGCACAUUAUAUGAUAACAAAUGAUUGAUGAGAUAGGAUAUAUAUAUAUGAUAUCAUCAAUGAAUGAGACAAGAUUUGUAAGUACCGUAUUCAAGGAACGCAUUUACCUACUCGAUCCAAGAUUUGACUCAAUUACUAACAUGAUCAUCCAUCUUUAAACAUCAAAUGGAUACACACUUUUGGUAAGUGACAGACAAUUAGCAGGAAACAUACCAAUGUGAGAGCUUAUAAUGCUAAAUGGAGACAAUGGAGACAACUUAAAUGCCUAAUUUCAUCUGUUCGCACCUUUAAUUCUUGAGUGUUUUGGUGCAUAUAUAUGGAUUUCAUCCGAUAAGAACUUCAUUCCACAAUCUCCCACAAGCCUAAUAAAGUAUUCCUUUUUAACCCUCCUUGUUUGUUUCUUUCUCUCUCAAAUGUUUUAGCAAUGGAAAAGCAUAGAAAAGAAAAUCAUGGGAAAACAAAUGAUUGAGAUGAAAAUGAUCAAGAACGUAGAUGAUCGACAAAUCAAUUCUUGAAAUACGAAAUGUCGAUCAGGAAUUUAUAAGAAAAUAUGGAUCUAUCCACUUUAUGUGGUAGUGAGAUUCUUUUUAUUAUUUUAUCGUUAACAAGUACAUCUUUUUCGUUCAAUCACCCCUUAAUUGAAUUUGUUGCUAUUUGUUUUUUGAAUGCAAAUGUACCUAAGAAUGACGACUUGCAUGUUCUUAUUGAAGUUCACUAUUUGGUAAGACCCAAUCGGUUAAUCUAACGUUAUAAUGAGGUACACAAUUAAAUCCAAAGAAAAACAAAAAGUGUACAACUAACAAAUGGAAUAGACACUAAAUCAAAUAGAUGCAUUCAAAGAAAGACAAAAAGUGUACAAUUGAUAAAUGGAAUAGACGCUAAUGGUUGGUGAAAAAGUCUCAUUGAUCAACUUAAUUGGAGGUAGCUCCAUGAAUUUGGCUCAUGUUCCUCAGAACUUGUCGACCUAUGUUAUAUCACCCGGUUAAAAAGGUAGUUGUCGCUUCUUCAAUGCAUGCUCCAACGAAUUUUGGUGAGCAUUGUCCUACCCUUUUCCUACUGCCCCCAAUUCUGAACUACUUAUAUUUUCUUUAAUAUAAUAACUUCCACCUUGUAGAGUUAACAUCGAGUUAUUGGUUUGCUACAGUAAUAUUUUCGAGCCUUAACUACAAUAAAAUAAGUCUACGUGCUAUCCUAGCAACCUAAUAUUUGUUGUUGUUGUUGUUAAUUUAAGUGGCGGUUACCCAUUUAACCCCAAAUUUUAACACCGUUUGUCUAAAAAAUAUUGUCCAACACAAGCUGCCACAUCACCUAGUCAGCUGUAUCUUUUAAAAAUUAUAUGGGAUUAAAAAAUAAAAAAGUUAAAAGAUGAUUUUACUCCUCCAGUUUUUCUUUUACCCUUUCUUCAACCUUAUAUAUCCCUCUCCCUCACGAACGAAUCUGGGUUUUUUUUUCUCUCAAAAUUUUUCUUCAAUUUCUGAACCUGCAGAUGAAUUAUUUUUAAGAUCCGACUUCAUUUCAGAGAUGUCAAGUGGAAGCUCAAACCAUCAUAUUAGUUCAAGGGGAGUGCAAUCUUAUUGCGGCCAAAAGGCACCGGUUUCACAGACCGCAAAAUCUUACUUUGUUUACAAAAUCCAUGGAUCAAAGUGGACAAAGUUACAGCAUCAGGUUCAACACCUAGCUUCAGCAUCUUCCCCAAAACAGAAAACCCAGAAUCAAUUUGAUUUAACUGACAAAAGGAAUUAAUCAAGAUGUUCGAAGAAUACACGUUAUGGAAAACUCCUAAUAAUUCCAUUUGGCUAUACAUAGAAACAACAACGGCAUAAUGUUUCAUUCUAACAAUGGCUGCUAAUAGUUUAAUGAAUUCCAUAAUCCAAGGCUUUGGGCACUUCUCAAUUAUAUUAUUAAACAAAGUCAAAGCAUCAUCAACAUUAUUGAAGCGGUGAUACUUUUUUCGGUUUCCCCUUACUGACAUUGAAGUUUUACUAAAAAGCUUCGAUUUGGGUAACAAUGGUGUUAAAAAGAACAAGAAAAAGAAAGAGCGUAAUGGAAACAUUCCUUCCACCAUUAACAAUUAAACGAAGAAAUAAUGAAGAAUUGAGCUUACCCAUAUCUAGAAAUCCAGCAAAGUGAAAGAAAAACUAGCUACCAUAUUUAACAGUGCACAAAGACAAGAGAACCAGAGAGGGGGAAUGGCUCUAGAGGAAGAUCUCAAAACAAACAAAUCAAACUAUGAACAUGAAAACCUAAACCCAAACGAUAAUGGAAGAUUACGGUCCUAGAAAGAAAAUGAAAAGUUUGGUUUUGAUUACCGAAUGGAAACAAAUGGUUUUAGUUACGAUUUGGGUUGGUUUCUUUUUGGUAAAAAAAAAACUAUUAAUUACGAUAAUAAAUUUAAUUAAAAAUCAUUAUAAAUUACUCUUCCUUAUAACAGACCCAAAACCCAACCAGCCCUAAACCCCCAAAUCAGACCCAGUCAAACUCAAUUUGCCCUUUUUUAAUUAAGUCAUAUAAUAGAAAUUAAAUUUUAUCCAUUAAUUCAAUUACUUACAUAAAUAAACCUGGAUCAUUAUAAAUUACUCUUCCUUUAUAAAUUACACAAAAAUUAAAAUGAAAGUAUAGCAACUGUAUGCAGCAGCAGUAAUUCCAGAGGCUGAUAACAGAAAUUCAGAAGGAAAAAAACACAUAAAUACAACAGGAGGAAAAGGCACCAAGAAUACAAAUUGGUAGCUGAAACUUUAAAUUGAUUUUACAUUAUCAAUCUUCCAAUAACCUCGGGUCUUUACAUUCUCACUCGACCAUACAAAAUUAUGAACAUAAGAUGAAUGCUAGUUGAAACUAUCCCCACAAAUUUGCUAAAAAUUGCAUUAUAAUGGGGUUGGGUAUAUAUACAUAUACACAGCAUUUUUCAACUGGCUAUAAAAAAUGAGGGCUAAUUCAAAUAAAAAAUGUGAAACAAGGAAUACGAGAACUAGGCAGAAAUACCAUUUAGGGACUUGGGUUGAGACCAGGCAUCAUUUGGGGUGCCACACAGUUGGCAAGGGUCAGAGGUUCCCUGUGAACACCAGUGAUCAGGGACACUCAAAAAGUAAGUUGACAUGAACUUUCUGAAUCUUUUCUUAUAUUCCCUGGGAGAAAUUACAGUUGGCAACAAAUUCUUAGGAACAACCAAUGAAGACUUAACCCAUGUCUCCAGUUGUUUGUCCCAAGUAUACUGCCUGAGAUAAUCAAUGAUCCCACAUACAAGCUCCCGCCGCUCCGUAUCCACCCCAACAAGUAAAGAAUAAUCCAUUACAUUGUUUGACUGCAAAAGAGCACAACUCGGUCAACACCUCAUUCCAAAUUUGAGGAAUAUAACAUACAAAGGAAAUAUAUAGAUGAUAUAUGGGGUUGAGGGAGGAUUUGGGAUGUUGGGGUUGAUGGGGAGUACUGAAUACCAUAAGGGCAAAUUUUAUUCAAGAAAAGAAAGAAUGCAUCUAGUCCGAGCAAGGAAAAGUCCAGUAGAAAGAAAUUAAAGCUCACGUUGAGGAAAGUUGUGUCAUUCCAUACAGCCCGUUGCAAGAGACGCUUGGCUUGAUUACUAACAUAUAAUGGAGAGGAAUUCAUGUCAUUGACAAAGUUCUGAUCCAAAAGAACAUCUCCAGAACCCUCAGCAGCAGAAUUGAAUCGAGCAUGCAAGGCCCCUUUAAGAUCAUACUGGCGAGUAAUAUUUCUACCAAAGGUAAGAUUCUCCAUCACCAUAAGAUCAUGUCUCGUCUCUUUCCCUGUUUUAGGCUGUCUUACUAUUACCUGCAAAAUGUUUAAAUGUUCAAAAAAAAAGAGCAAAUAAUAAAGCAAUCGCAUAUUUUUUAAAAUGAAAAUGAGAGCAAACCUGAUAAAUCCCAAGAACUUUAGCAAGGCAAGUUUGGCUUCCCGACUCAAAUGAUUGGUUCAUGUACUUGAAAUAAUGUAAAGCAAACUUCUGAAAUGAUUCAUAUUCUGUGUUCUUGAUUUCUUUUAUAAUAAACCUAUCAUCAAGUGUUUUAGCAAAAAAGGACUUGCUCUUCCCUCCUUUGGCAUCCCAAUUUCUGCAUCGGCUAAGGGAAGCAAUAUAAUCAAGCUCUGAAGGGCAGCACCGCUCUCGAAGAUCACGGAACUGGUUAGCAUAUAAACAAAAUACCGAGUAUUUACCCUUCCCAAGUGAUUUUGAAACCCCUAGAGAAACCUCUAUGUUAUGCGCAUCAGGAGGAACUAGAGAAUCCAACAAGCUUAACCCAUCAAAACUGGAGAAGCGCGACAUUGGAAAACACUUUUCAACAUUUUAGCUUGGUUAAAAUCAAAAAUUUAAAAUUAAACGUUUGGUUCGAAAAGUUGUUUGUUUACUAUUUUUUUUUUAAAUUAAGGUUUGAGUUGAAAAGUGUUUUUAACUUCAAGGGUAAAUAACGGGUCAAAUAAUUUUUUUGAAAUAAAUUAUUUCUUUUAUGUUAAAAUAUGUCAUAAAUUCUCGCACUUUUCAUAAAUUUAGAACUAAUCUUUGCGCUUUUGAUUUUAAGAAUUUAGUCCUUUUAUUUUUUACAUUUUAAAUUUAGAUCCAAUUGUUGUAUAUUGUUAAAAUUAUGUUUAUUAUAACGCCAUUUUUUAAUUAAACGACUAUCAAUUGUGUAAUGCUCAAUUUUUGCCCGGGCCCGUAUAUAAAUAAAUAAAACUAAAUACCAAAUUCAAUUAAAACCAAAUUUUAAAAGUCCGAAUUACAUCAGCCCAAAUGCUAAACCCUAGCCCAAAUUCAGUGUGGCCCAAAACGAAGUUUUCAGAAGCAGAAACAACCAUCGGGCCCUCACUGUGCGCGUGUACCAGCGAUUGUCACUCUCCACGCACGUCGUGCAUGUCUCCUCCGGUGCCCUUGAAACAAACCACGAACAGCAAGUGAGAGAGAAUAAUAGGGAUAUAUGGCAAAAAUUAAAGGGGGAUUGUUUUUUCGGGAAUAUUGGGGUAUAAAAACCGAUUCAUAGGAAAAAAUUUUGGUACGGAUAUUGAAUCAAAAAAGGAGAGAAAGAAAUCAGUGUAAAACAAAAUAUAAGAAAAUAAAAAAUAUCAAUUGAUUGAAGGUGAUUUUCUUCAACAUUUUUCUUCCUUUGCAUUUUUCUUAUUGAAUACUUAUCCGUGUAUACAAGUUUCUGUUAAAAAAAGAGAGAAAAACCAUACCUUUGCGGGUGCUAUCAAAAUCCUUGUUUACUCCAUCUGAAUCGAACGAAAGUGAGGGGUUUUGAGGGGGGAAGUAACGGAGUUGGGGGUUUUGAAGUUGCGGCGGCAAAAAGGAGGGGCUUAGGGUGGGUUUGGAUGGGCGAUUGGGUGCGGUGCGGCGCGUUUAGCUUACUUUUUGUCUCACGCUACAAUAUCGCUAUAGUAUUUAAUCUCACCGCCACCGCUGUUUUUACACUAACCGCAGGUAAACGCACCGUCCAUCCAAACUUACCUUUAGUGUUUUCUGAAAUCUGUUAGGGUGAUUAGGGCUGAUGGUUUUAGGGUUUUGUUUUGGGCAAGCCUGUGUUAAUAGCUUUGAAACAGCGCCGUUUAAAGUGUACCCGAUUACCCGACCCGACGCAGCCAGGAUCCGCGUGUUUUCUGCUUUAAGGGGAUAUUUUCUCAAUCGGUCCCUCCGCUUUUGUGUCGUUUUCAAUGCUUUUUUUACAUAUUUUCAAUUUUGGCCACAUAAUUUUUCUUCUGUUUUAAUUUGGUCCCUCACGCUUCACUGGAACGACGUCGUUUGAUUAACGAGGGAAUAUUUCCCUUUUUGGUCCUCUUUAUUUCACGCGCAUUAUGUUUUGGUCCUUUUUGUGUUUUCCAUUUUUGAAUUCGGCCCCUAAACUCCGUUUCUUUAAAAUUUAAUCCUUAAUAUGUCAUUUUAGGUUUUUUUUAGUAUUUUAAUAUUAUUAAUACUGUCAUAUUGCAUCAUUAUUAUUGUAUUAUUAUUUAUUAUUAUUAUAGUAGUUAUUAUUAUUAUUACUAUUCUUAUUGCUAUUAAUGAUAUUAUUAUUAUUAUUUAUAUAUAUUAAUUUACUUAACUCUUUAUAUACAUUAUUUUAUUCCAUUAUGUACUAGUAUUUUAAAAUUUUUUUUAUAUUAUUGUCAUAUAUUAUUAUUUAAUCUUAUAAUGUAUAAUUUUAUAUUUUCAUAAUUAAUCCCAUGUUUUUAGUGGUUUUAUUUCAUGAUAUAUUCUAGAAAAAUUGGUUUAUAUAUGCUUCUAUGUUUCAAAGUUUUAUAAUGUUUUUUACACAAUGCCAUUAUAUAUAUAUAUACAUAAUUUAUAUCAAACUAUUUUCAUACUUGUAAGCUUACAUAGUAUUAUAUAUAUAUAUAUAUAUAUAUAUAUAUUAUAAUUUAUAUCGAGUUCCCACUCCAAAUGUAUUAUGUUCUUUUUAAAAAAAAAAAGUAAUAUAUGUACAUUAUGUAGUGAAUCUUAAUUUUCUUCUUAUAACAUUUAUUAAAAAAUGUAUUUAGAUACUAUUAUUUCAUGAAGUGUUUAUUUUUUACUUUAUUUCUGAUUUAUUGCAAACUUACAUAUAUGCAUACAUUGUUGUUUCAACAUAUAAUUUAUUAAUUAGGUUUCUCCUCUUGCUUUUUAGUGGAUCUUUAAAAAUUAAUUAAUAAUUUAUUUAAUUUUUGAAUGUGGUAUGACGUGAGAUGAUUGCUAUUAUUCAUAUUGUAUUGCUUGUUUAUAUUUAUAGAUUAUUUGUCACUCAUUAGUGUAUGUUUUAUUUGCGAUCGCUCCAUGUUGUAUAUUAUCAUUUAUCGCAUUUUAUUCGCUUAAAAGGCUAUGUUCGAUAUCAUUCAAGCAUCAAAGUCAUUUUAUCCAAAAGUUUUCAAAAAACGCCAUACUCGGUACUUGUGAUCUUCGAGGGGAUUGAGCCCUAACGUAUUAGGUUUCAAUUUUCCUCGUCGAAUCCAAAUAAUCAAGAAUAUUCUUUAAUCAGAAUGCAAAAAUAAAAGCUCAUCCUUGGGAAUUCUAUACGUUGUGUCCUAACGUAUUGGAUAUGACAUAUUGUUUUCUCGAGAUGAGGAUUUUUCUAAAAUAAUAAAGGCAAUAUUAAAUGUUUGGAAUUUUGAGAAAUUGUGCCCUAACAUAUUGGGCUUCGAUUUUUCAUCUGACUUAAACAAUUGAAUAUUUUUUUAAACUUCACUACAUGAGUUUUAAAAAUCAAAAGACGAGCUCAUUUUCGAGGAUGCGAAGCUCAUUGGAUGUGAUGUUUGAUCUCCCGAAACAAGAGGGUCUUAGCAUGCAUUUUGAUUUAGAUUUAUAUACGUUUUUUAAAGGAUCCUAUUUUAAAUCUUUUCGAGUUUUCGAUAUUCGACAUUAAGACAUUAAUCAAUCAAUUCGAUACCAAUUUUGAGCGUCACGAGGAUGCUAACUCUUUCUCGUGCGUAACUGACUCCCGAACCCGCUUUUCUCUGAAACUCGUAGACCAAAAUCUUUUUAAGGUGAUCCGAUCACACUGCAAUAAAAGAUCAGUGGCGACUCCCAUACUCGUUUUUAUUUUCAAAAUCCAAGUCAAUUUCGUUUUACAAAAAAAUGGUUUCGACAAAUUGAGUAUUUUUUUAUUUAAACAAAAGUAACAACUGAACUUGAAUUUUAAAAUCUGAAAAAAUAUAAGGACUAAAUUUCUUUAAAUAAAAAUACAGAAACUAAAUUAUAAAUCUAGGAAAAGUAAAAUGAUGACAUUUUUUAACCUGGCUUUCAUUUAUAUAUAAGGAAUUUCACCUUUAUUACAAAACAUAUGUUCCUAUAUUUCACAAAUUCAGUUUCCUUUUUAUUUUUCUAGAUAUAUACAACCUCAAAUCACAGUUUCAGUUGACCGUAAAUGGGCCAAUUAUAAAUCAGUCUUUCUGUGCUUUUACGUCUUUUUAAGGACCGUCGCUUUUUAAAUUUACGCUUCCAGUCCCUCAUGUUUUUCAAAAUUAGGUUCUUCCGUAUUUCACUUUUCAACCCAUUUAUUUGAAAGCAGAAAAUGCAUUAAUGUAUGUAAUUGUAGUUCCAACGUUAAUUUAUCAAUUAAGAAAAGGAAAAGGUUGCAUUGUGUUGAUUUUGGUUGAAAUUGGUAAAGAAAUUAAGAUUUCUUAAGGUUGCAAGUAAAUCCGUUGAUUCCUGUACAAUUGUAUUAUAAAUAUAUUUACACUUCCAGUCCCUUAUUUCUUUUUCUUUUGCAUGCUUCUAUCUACCAUGCUCACUAUUAUUCAUUUCUCCAUAAUUCUUAAACAAUUUACACCUAAAAAAGUAAGGAUACUAUUUUUCAAACGGGCAACACAUUUAAUUUUUUAAAAAUAAACUUCAAUUUAUCCUAGUAUUAUUUAUUUAAAUAUUUAUAUGAAUUAUAGUACAUAUUUUGAUCACAUACAUCACACGAAUAUGCACGCUAGUACAUUUUAAGAAAGUUUUUGUCGCUCUACAAAUUUCACUAGUAAUUGACUUACAAUAAUGCGAUAUAUAUGUUUUGAAGAAUAAUGUGAUAGUUAAAACUAGUUAAUUGUGAAUUACUAAUAAAAGUUUGGUGCUUAAUAGGUUUAAAUAAAAUAUUAUAGGUCCAAUUUUGUGAAUAAAACCGAUAAUCUAUCAUGAUUUCAAUAAUCAAUUCAUAUAUAAUUUAGACGUUCUAAAAUAAAAUUAAGAAUAUAUAACUUUUCACAACAGUGAUUUAAAUAUGAAAAGAUAGUCACAACUUAAAUUCUUAAUAAAUAUUUAUUCUAAAAUUAUGAAAUUAAAAUUUUAUUACUGUUACGUGCUAUUCAGUUGCACGUGUCAAUCCACUUUAUUCAAUGCUUGUAUUAGGUCUAGGUUCCAGGACAACGAGGCAUGGUAGAUGGCGGUGGGCGCAUGCUGGUUUCGGUGGUGGUUCCAUUCCUCACAAUCAAAACAGUGCUCAUUCCCCAGCUACUAUGCCUUUCGAAAUGGCAAUGCAUAUACCACACCCCUGAAAACGUUAUAUUAUAUAUAAAUAUCAAUUACUUCGGUAGUUAGAAAGAUGGACGACAAUGAGCUCUGUUUUUUCUAAUUGAAAAACUUACCGGGGUUGUUUGCAAAAAACCUGAGGGCAACCCAUCCUGCAGCAGGACUGUGGACAGUGUUAAUAAAUGGCGGAUCAACCAGGUUAUAUGUGCUUGGGUCCGUCUCAUUGUUGAAAUUUCCGGUGCCAAUUCCCACCCAAUAGAAGCUGAAACCGUGCAAAUGAAUUGGGUGACUUCCACCAGCCCCCAACCGGGUCGUUUGCAGCACCAUCUCCACUGCAUCCCCAUAAUUUACCAUAAUAGCCCUCGUCCCUUCCCCAGCUUCAGUAUUGAAAUCAGUCAAGUUCCCAGUGAAAUCAUAAAAUAUUGGUGGAUUAAACGGAAAAUCUUGGGUGAAAACGCCAGUGAUGUUCCUGCAAUGUUACCAAAACUUUAAGAAUUAGCUACAGUAAUCAAAUUAUUUUUUCUUUUCUUUUCUAGCGGUACUAGGAUUGCUAUAUAUAUACACACACACACACCCGUAGUAUGCUUGGAGAAUGUCAAUACGUGGGGAAACAAAGCUGACAUUGUUCAGACUUGCAGCGAAUCUGCUAUCUGAAACACAUUCUGAUGUGUUGCAUGGCAAGGUGUUUGAGGCGAUUGUAAUGUACACUCGUCUGUUGAUAUCUGUAUCCGCCGGUACAUUUAUGGUCGGGUUUUGGGAGACAUUGGUGUACCGAAUUUGGCUGAUGAAGUUAAGCGUAGCAUCUGUAUCGUUCAUUGCGGGCAGCGAUAUCAAGGAAGCAUUCAGUCCACCCUCGCUGUUUCUAUAUUGAAAAAUGCCAGUAGUGAUGUUGUCAACAGGUGCAGCAGAGGAAUCAGAGAAAGGCCUAAUAGCCAUGUAAUAUUGGCCGACGUUUUGAUCGGCAAUGACCAAAACAUCCAUGGUUUGGCCAGGGCUUAUCAUUAUAUAGUCGGUGGUGAACAUUCGAACGUAGGAGGCAUCUUGUGCGACGACAAUGAGGGUGUGGUUUGUGAUGGUGAAGAAUAGCUCUUCGUUCAUUGCAGCAUUGAUUAUGCGGAGAAGGUAUAUAUUCUCAGAAUCAACUUCCAUGAGGAAUUUUGUAUCCGCAACACCCAAUUAUAGACUCUUAGUGUAAGUAAGGGAUUCCUAGGGAUAGAAACUCGAUUCCGGUUUCUGUAAUGUUGAGAACGUACCAUUGGGGCAUCCAUAUGUGUCUCCUAAAUGUCCAUUGAUAGCGUAAGCAUCUGCUUCGCGAGGACCAACACCAGCUGCGAGUGCAUCAUCGAUAAUUUGCUUGUAAUCCCCAUUGUACCACGAUUCUGUAUAUACAGACAAGAAUCAAACUAAGAUUCAUAUCAUUAUACACAAGUAACACAACCGAAAAAUCAAAAGACAUACUUACGAAGUAUGAUUGUUUGAUCGGCGUCUGGAGUGGGGAAAGGAUAAGUUUCGUUCUCAGCUGGUAAAAUGAUGAAAGCUCCAUGGACAGAACCGCGAGUCCAGUCACUGUGUGCAUUCCACCACAGGGUUCCUAUUUCAUCCGAUAAUAUGAUUUCAUGGGUGAAGUUGGUCCCUGGUUGAAUCGGGCACUGCGUUAUGAACUCAGGACCGUCGGACCAUGGAUUCCUUGGUUGUUUCACGCCGUGCCUGCAACAUGUUUAAUUUAUCUUAAUCACUAAUGAAUUCAAUUCUUAGGGAAAUUAUCAUUGGAAGAAUGAAAGAAAGGUUAUAGUUACCAGUGAAUGGUGAAGCCAUAGUUUCCUUGAUUGUAGACAUUAACGAAGACUGUGUCACCUUUGUGAACCCGAAUCUCAGGCCCCGGGUAACUGUCGUUUACGACCAGCAAUGUCGUUGUGUUGCACUGUUUCGUAAAGUUUGACUCUCGCACCUGCAAUAAAAAAAUUAUGGUUUCACUUAUUAUAUAUUAAUCAACAAAAACUAUAUAAGAAAAAGGUAAUCAUUUCGCUGUCCAAGCAACCGUGAUGAUUUUGUUGUCUUCACUCUCAUACGCUUAGCCAUCAUGUUUUUAGGAGUCAUAUUUUAAUAAGAAGUCUAAGAUUAAUAGACGAAAUCACUGUGACAUGUAAGAAUAUAUAAGAAAAGGGAACUCACAAAGAACUCAUAGUGAUGUACAUCAGCACUGCAAAGCAGCAAAGUGCUUAGAAAUAGAACCCCUACAAACCAUGAGGCCAUAUCUCGCUGUAAACCCUUUUUUUUUUCUCUCUCUCUCUCUCUACCGUGUUCUUAGUUCUCCCCUGAAUUUUAUCAUCUUUGGGCCAUAAAAUUCAACCAUUUAUAGGAAAGGAAGCUCCUGCUCCUUUGGUUUCUUUCUUUGCAACUACAAUUUGUACACAUUGGCAUUGGGAAAAAACAAACGUUCCAGAAUAUAUAUUAAAAAAAUGGAAAAUGGAAAUUAUGUAUUACGUGUAUACAUUGACUCGAGGAAAAUAAAAUACCCUUGGGGGUUACCAAUAACAUCAAGCCACCUGUCCACUACAUUUUUUAAAACGGUUUUUCCAUUUAUUUCAAUUUUUUAUAUCUUAUGUUAAACAUUAUUUUAUAUUUUAAUUUUGCUUUUUACAGAAAUCCACUGCCAUGUAAUUCAAAAUUCAUAUUUAAUCCGAUUAUUUUAUUAAUUUUUAUUUUAAAAAUUUGUAUUUAAAUUAAGAUAUGGGUGUUUGCUAACUUGCUAAUAGUUUUGGUAUUUAUUUUUGAACCACUUAGGAAAAAAAUUUAAACAUAUUUUUUAUUAUUUAAUUAUAAAUGAUAUUUUUUUAAUACUAAUAUAUCAUGUUAUGUGUUGCAUGAAAUUUUAUGUGUUUAUUUUAAUUUAUUAAAUAAUAUAUUUUUAUAAUAUCAAAAAAUAAUUUUUAUUUAAAUGAGGAUUUGUUUUAAUUUUUUAAAAUAAUUUACAAAAUAAAAUACCAUUUUAAAAGUAAUAAAAAUAAAAAAUGAAAACAACUUAUAGUAAAAUAGUAAGUAAUUAAAUAAAAUAAUUUAAAUCAAGCAUAAAAUCAGUAUUGAACUAAAAAUUAAUUAAACAUUGAAUUAAUAGAUACAUCUAUUAAAAUAAUAAAUAUAUUUGAAACUAUAUAAGAAAGUACAUGAUAAUAAUAAAUUGAAAAAAUAAAAAGAAAAUAGUCACGCAUCACUUAUAUUAAAAGUUCAUGACAAAUAUCAACCCAUUUAAUAAUGAUUAUAAUAUAAUUUUUAAAAUUUGAAUUAAUAUUUAAAAUUUGAAUUUCCUUUCAAAUCAAACAAAUACAGGAUAGAUAAAAAAAACACUUUUACUAUCAACUUUCAAUGGUGGUACAAAAAGAUGCAUUUCUUAUUAUCAAAGUUGAUGAUUGCUUAUGUUUUGAAUACUCCUAGAUCGGAAGAGAACGAAAACGAAUCUGUUGUUGCAACCCAUAAAAGGUAAAAAUGGACAAUGUUGAUUACAUGUGCAUAGACCACAUAUUGAAUGAUUUAUCUUAUGGUUUGUUGAAAACCUCCUAGAACAAGACCACAAUCUAGGAGUUAUGGGACAAAUCUGAGCAAUAUACAUGAUCGAAGAUGCUACAAGUAAGAAAUUUCUUACUAGUCAUUUCAAUAAUUAUCACAUGAUUGAUGGUCGUUCUGUUAUGAAAUAAUUUCGUGAAAUUGAAAAAAUAUUGAAUUCAUUUAUGCAAUAUAACAUGACAAUAUAUGAAGUGGUUGUAUCCUCCAUUGUAGAUAAACUUUCUCCAUCUUGGAAAGACUUUAAAAGAAGUCUAAAACAUAAGAAAGAUGAUAUAUUUCUUGAGGCUUUAACAAAUCAUCUUCAAAUUGAAGAAAAAUAUAGAAAGCAAGAGCAAAACUCAGAACCCAGAUUCUGAAAAUAUCAAAGUACACGUUAUCGAGGAAUGACAGAUUAUUAAACCAUCAAAGAGAAAGUUCAAACAAACUGUUAGAGGGCCUAAUUUCAAGAAGCAAUAAAGAAGAUCGUGUUGCCAUUAUGGUAAGCUGAGACAUUUCAAGAAUGAAUGUCAAUUUUUAAAGAAGAAUAUUUCUUCUAAUGUUAACAAUACAGAGAAGUUUGUUUCCAUGAUUUUUGAAAUUGAUAUAAUAUAAGAUGAUAAUGCAUGGUGGAUUGAUAUUGGAGCAAUCAAACACAUGUCCAAGGAAAAAGGUUUGAUCUCAAAGUUCACAUAAUAUGAAUAUGACAAUGACUUGUACAUGAGAAAUUUUCCAACCACAACAAUCAAAGGCAAAUGAUCGAUUGAACUACGAUUCACUUUUGAAAAUGUUUUAACCUUUAAUAAUGUAUAUUAUGUGUCACAUGCAAAUUUUUAAAAAUAUAUUUUUUAUUAAAUUAUUUUUGAGCGUAAGUGAAAAAAAAUGUCUAGUUGAGUGAGCCAACCUUAUGAAUUAUGAUUUUAUUAAUAUAUAGUUUUGAGAUUUAUCCCUAAUACAUUUAAUGCGAACUAUUAGAAAUUAUUAAUAUGUUGGUUAAAUGUUGACAAAAAGAAUUAUUAAAGUUUGAAACUUCAAACUAUAUUUAGCUAUUUAUCAUUCAACCUAGCAUGUAAUGGUAUUCCACUAGUAAUUAUUAUCUUCUGCUUAGUUUUAGAGGUGGAGUUGACAUGGUAUAUGAAUUUCCUUAGUAGUUUGAGCUAAGAAAUCAUUAAACAAUGCGUGAAUCAUGUUAGAAUUUUAAAUAAUAUCUAAUAUAAAAUUAGAACUGUAAAUUAAGAUCUGUUAUGUCAAAUCAUUAAGAAUAAAUCAAUAACAGAAUUAGAUGCAGAAGCGUACUUGAAUCCAUCAAUUCUUUGAAAUUUUCUGGAUCAUAGGGUUUUGAUCUUCCAAAUAGCACACAAGAAAUUUAGAGAAUAUUUGCUCUCUCUUUCCUAAGGAUGGGAUAUUAAAAACGAUAUCUUGUGUAUAAUUUAAGGACCAUAACCCUAUUAUAUAACUUUGACACAUUAGCCCUAAUUCCUAAUUAGCCCAUCAUUAAUUAGAAAUUGAUUAGAACUGAAUCCAUACUUUAUUUAAUAAUUAAAGCCCAAUAAACCUUAACUAAAUUAGAUCACUUUUAAUUUGGGCUAACCUAUCAUGAUAAUAAAUAAUAACAUGUAAUUACCCUUAUUAUAUAUGUGAUGUCCAUAUUUUCUAACAAAUCAAAUGUGAGUAAUGUUUUUCUCCUUAUACAUGAGAAAACGUAAAAUGACCAAAUGCAACUAAUGUACAAAAUUUCACCAAAUAAAGCAAAAUGCACGAGGUAACUAUAGCAAAGAAUCAUAAAACUGUAACACACGAAUAACAUGUUUUAGAAAAGCAAUACUAUCAGAUUAAUUAAUGCUUAUCGUAAAUGAAAAUACCAAGGAUUUUUAUACACGUCAAUAAGAUUAACUAACGCGGUAAUCACUAUUGUAAAUCGUUUUAAUUGCAUCUUUACAACACUACUGAUCUAACUACUCUAACAAUGAUCCCAUCUAUUUCAAAGUCAAAAUUAAGUUGGAGAUUAUCCAGCUGCCAUCUAGGCAUCUACGACUUUGUUUGCAACUCUGAAUAAAUUAUUUACGGGAAAAGACAUGAAAAAUAAUUAAAACAUUGCAUGCAUGCAUGCAGUUUAGUCUGUAUAGAAAAUGAUCCACGUUCGAAAUAUUUUAACUUCAUUUAAGUUACGUGUAUGAUGGUCUUAAAGACUAUAGGAAUGAGACAAUUUCCAGAAAAUAGGGCCAUGUAGGAGAAGACGUAAUGGCUCACAAUUUUUGACUCUACAUUUUGCUCAUAACUAUCCACACUCACUGUAUCUUUAUCUCUUGUAUUAUACACCAAGUUUUAUCUCGGUAUUGACUUUCGCAUGUUCCAAUUUUUUUUCCAUAGGCAAUGUUCAUUCAAUUGGGGUGCAAAUGAUUUACCUAAGGCCAAGGGGUCAUGACUCUAAACUAAAUGUAUAUGAAUUUCUUUUAACUUGUAAAUAAAUUUAUUUUGUUAUAAUUUUUUAAAAAUUAUUAAAAUAUAUUUUUAUAAUUAAAUUUGCAUUAAGCUGUGUCAAAUUUUAAAACAUAUAUAUAAUGGUGGUUUUAAUCAAGUUAAGGUUUUUUCUUUUUUUCAGACAAUUCAGUGUCCAAUAGUUAUAUAUAAGACUUUACUUAAUGCAUCCUUUCGUCACUAAGUCACUAAAGUAUAUAUACUGUUUUCCUAAUUUUUUUUUCCUAUUUUAAUCCUUUGGAAGUUAAAAUUAAUAAUUAAGAUAUUCAACCAAUUAUGUAUCAUAUUAUGACAUCAUAGUGACAUCAUCUCCAGAAAAUCUUUAAAAGAUCUUUUAAAAAUGAAAAUUAUUAAAAAUUACAAAAAAAAUUGAUAAAAGUAUACAAGUUUUUACUAAAAAUUACUAUUUUUUUAAACUAAAUUAUAAUUUUUAAUAUUUUUUACUAGAGCUUGAAUAUAAGAUCAUUAUCUUUUGAAAGGACAGCACGUAAGAAAAUUGUUUUAUAAUUCAAUCAAUCAAAAUGAUUUUUUAAGUGAUAAAUUUAGAUGAAUUUUUACAAUUUAUUAAAAUAAUGAAAAAUAAUAUUAUUUCAAUUCAAAUAAUAAUGCAAGUAUUCAAAUAUGCCAUCCUUCUCCCCAUGUCCACCAUUAUUAUCGAGUGUUUAAUACAAAAUAAAGACAGCAUUGACACAAUGAUGGAAGGAAGAAGUUUACGCUAGAAACAUCGGGAAAGUCUAAAAGUUAAUGUAAUUUAAAAUAAUAAAAUUUUGAUGUAAAAAGUGUUAAUUUUUAUUAAAAUAAUUUUAAAAUACAAUUUUUAUAAAAAAAUUGAUUGUAUUUUUAAUUAAAUACAACUUUUAUAUCAAAUUUUAAUAUUUUAAAUGUGAUUAGCCAAUCUUUAUUCUAAGAUGCAAUAAAUUUUCCCCCUUUUUUUUAGUUUUAAAACUUUUUACAAUUUCUAUAAAAAAACCCUAGAAGCCAAGAGUUCUAUCCCUAAUAUCCUAGCAAGAACAGUGGCUGCUGCGGCUUGGGAUGAUGGAAAGUGGUGGCAACGACGGGUUUGGGGGCGAUGAGAUCUCCCUGCUGGCAGAGGAAUUAAUUCAAUUAUCGGUUAAAACUUCGACGGUGGAACCAAGUGAGAAACCAACUCUAAUCUGUACUAUUUGGACAGAGAAAUCUUACAAUCCAGAUAGCUUCAAAGCGCAGAUGAGAAGUAUUUGAAAAAUAAAAAAAAGUUUGAAAUUCAAUUGGUAGGGCAAAACCUGUUUAUGAUUGUCUUUGAUUUAGAGGAAGAUUUAGAAACUAUUAUGGAAGGACAGCCAUGGUUGUUUAGGAAAAGUUUAGUCAUCUUUGAUCGACUGACUAAACCAAUGGAAAGAAAUCAGAUCAGAUUAGUUUCAUCCCCGUUUUGGAUCAAGAUUGGGCCAUGUUUACCAGAAUUUGAUAAAAAAGAUCUCUUGCAUGCCAUAGGGGUUACUUUCGGAGGUGUUCUCAGAUCUGAAGUUAAUGGUGAGUUUUGUCGCCUUAGAGUUAAUUUAAAAAUACAGAAACCCUUGCGUAGGGGUAUAUUUGUUUUACGAAGCAAUGGAAGUAGAUACUGGAUCCCUUUCAAAUACGAGAGAUUACCAAAAUUCUGCUUUACCAAAAUUCUGCUUUGGUUGUGGCAUAAUGGGGCAUGAUCUUUAAGAAUGCACAGUAGUGGAACCUGCAGAAAAAGACAGAAUUAGAGAAGACCCACAUUUUUCUUUAGCACUUAAAGUAGAAUUAAAUUUAAUUGGAAAGGAGUGUAUGAAAUUUAAUGCUAUAGGGAAAAAAUUACAAUCACAGAGCUCGUACACAGGAGGAGUCACAGCGAAUCAGAAAACGUGCUUGUUUGAUGGCAAAAAUAGUGGUCAGAUUCCAGUACUGCAAAAAGAGGUGUGGGCGACAAUAACAAGAACAGAGAUAAGGAAGCAGCUGGAAGGAGAACAAGAUAGGAAUAUUUCAGAAAAAGACAAAACCGACGAAGAAUUAUUACAGCCAAUCAAGAAAUCCAGCUGGAGGAGAGUUAAACCGUUAGAACCGAUGGAAUGUCAUGAAGUUGAGAGUAAAUUGCAGAAGAGGAAAUUGGCAGAUGUUGAUUAUGAUGAUUACAUCACAGAAGAAUCACGAGAUAAGGCAACAAAGAGGAAGAUAUGUGAAGGAAAGGAGUUGUUACAUGAGGUGGAAACAAAUAUGUCUGUUGUCAACCUCACCCAGAAUAGAUCGGCGGCUGCCAAAAGGCAAGCCGACCGGACGCAAUGAAAAUCAUUUGCUGGAAUGUCCGUGGAUUGGGGAGCCCACGGGCAAUAAGAAGGUUUUAGUUUUUAUUGAAACAGAAUAAUCCCCAAAUAGUUUUCAUCAUGGAGACUAAAGUUAGUGAAAGGCGAAUGGAGAGUAUUAGACGGAGGUGUGGUUUUCUGAAUGGUUUUGAUGUAGGAGCAGUAGGUUCGCGAGGAGGACUCUGUCUAGCAUGGAAAGAGCAGACCCAGGUUAGUCUUAAAACCUUUUCAAAUAAUCAUAUUGAUGUAUUGAUCAAAGAAGAUGAUGGUGGUACAGAAUGGAGAUUCACAGGGUUUUAUGGGUCACCUUAUAUACAUGAUAAAACUAGUUCAUGGGAUUUAUUAAGAACUCUGAGGCAGGAACAGAACUAUCCUUGGCUAGUUUGUGGAGAUUUUAACUAAAUAAUGUAUUCUUUUGAAAAAAAUAGAGGUCAGGAAAGGGAGGAAAAAAGGAUGGAAGCAUUCCGUGAUGUACUAGAAGAAUGCCAACUUAUUGAUGUAGGAUAUUCAGGAGUAUGGUAUACGUGGGAAAGAGGGAAUCUACCGAGUACAAACAUUAGAGAAAGACUGGGUCGUGGUGUUGCAAAUGGAAAAUGGAUGGAGUCUUCCCAAGUGGCAAUGUUCACCACUUAACGUCUUCACUUUCUGAUCAUUGCCCUCUUUUGAUUAGCACAACAAAUGCGGGUAGGUUAAAAAGAACUCCAAGAUUUAAGUUUGAGGCAUGGUGGACUGCAGAGGAAUCGACUGAAGAGGAGAUUAGGAAAUCAUGUGAGUCAUCAAAUGGAUCUCUAGUUGAAAAAUUCAAAAGUUUACAGAUCAGUCUGACAAGAUGGGCACAAUCAAUAAGGAAGGCCGGGAAAGAGUUGACGAAUAAAUUCACAAAGGAGCUUGAAAUUCUGCUGGAAAAGGACAGAGAUGAUGAUACAAUGGCACAGAUAAUAAAUGCGAGAAUCCAUUUAAAUUUGGAAGUUGAUAAAGAAGAUAUGUACUGAGAACAAAGAGCAAAAGUAAACUGGCUUCAGCUAGGGGACAGGAAUACGACAUUUUUCCACAAAUAUGCUUCAAUACGAAAACGUAUUAAUACGGUUAACAGGCUAGAUACAGAUGAUGGAAGGGAGAUUGUUGAAGAAACAGAAAUAAUUGAGACUGUUGCAAAGUACUUCCAGAAUCUUUUUCUAUCUAAUGGGGUAAGGAAUCUUUCCCACCUCUUAUCAGGUAUCAAGAAUAGCAUCUCUCCAAACAUCAACACAAUUCUACUUGCACGAUAUACGGCAGAAGAGAUCUUCAAUGCAAUAAAAGGUAUGGGACCCACUAAAGCACCAGGUUAUGAUGGCUUUCUAGCACUUUUCUUCCAGAAUUACUAGCAUAUUGUGGGUAAAUAUAUUAAAGAAUUUUGCUUGGGAGUUUUGAAUGAUGGAAAAAGCCUUGGUGAUUUCAACCUUACUGACAUAGUACUUAUCCCGAAGAUUCUCAACCCCACAAAUCUUGUCAACUUCAAGCCUAUCAGCUUAUGCAUAAUUAUUUAUAAAAUAGUAGCCAAAGUUAUUGCUUAUCGUCUUCAGGAAUUCAUUGGUGGAUGUAUUGACAAUGCUCAAAGUGCGUUUAUUCCUGGGAGGUUAAUUUCUGACAAUAUUUUGGUUGCCUAUGAAAUUAUGCAUACACUUCGACAAAAAAGAACAGGGAAAAAAAGAUUCAUGGCAGUGAAACUCGACAUGAGCAAAGCAUAUGACAGAGUUGAGUGGACAUUCCUGAAAGAAGUAAUGCGUCGAAUGGGCUUUGUAGAGGAAUGGAUAUCACUAAUUAUGAGAUGCAUUUCUACAGUCUCUUAUGUGGUAAACAUCAAUGGAAGGAGGAGUAAUGUUUUCAAACCUACUAGAGGACUCCGUCAAGGGGACCCACUUAGUCCUUUUCUUUUUCUAAUCUGUAGUGAGGGACUUUCGUCCUUACUCAGGAUAGCAACAGCAGAAGGUUUGAAAAAAGGAGUUAAGGCUAGUAGAAGGGGUCCGGCGAUCUCACAUUUAUUAUUUGCGGACGAUUGUAUCUUGUUCAGUGAAGCUUCAAAAAAUAAAAUAAUGAUUUUGAAAGACAUCUUGAAGGAAUACGAGAGGUGUCCAGGCCAAUGUGUGAAUUUUAACAAGUCCACGGUUUUUUCAGUUCCAAUAUGGUGGAAGGGGACAAAGCAGCUAUUUCAACUGAAAUGGGAAUAAGGCGUUCAACAAAUAUGGAGAAAUAUUUAGGAUUGCCUAAUAUGGUAGGAAGGAGAAAGAAGGAAUCCUUUCAGAACCUUAAGGAUAGGAUUAAAUUGAAGAUUGAGAAUUGGAGUACAAGGUUUCUAUCACAAGGGGAAAAAGAGGUUUUUAUAAAAUCUGUUCUUCAGGCUAUACCAACUUAUGCUAUGGCAUGCUUUCUUCCACCAAAAUCAUUAUGCGAGGAGUUCGAAAAUAUUUUCGCUAGAUACUGGUGGCAAAAAAGUCAGAAAUCGAAAGGGAUUCAUUGGUGCAAAUGGAAAGCUAUGUGCAGCUCUAAAGAGGAGGGCGGAAUGGGAUAUAGAGAUAUGGCUCAGUUUAAUAUUUCUUUACUUGCUAAGCAGGGUUGGAGAAUUAUCAAUAAUCAGGAUGCUCUUGUUACGCAAUUUUUUAAAGUGAAAUAUUUUCCAAAUGAUCAUUUUUUAAAUUCUCGUUAGGGAAAUUCCGGCUCUUAUGUAUGGAAAAGUAUUUAGGCAGCGAAGGCUUUACUGGCAAAGGGGUUAUACUGGAGAGUUGGUACGGGUUCUAAUAUACUCAUUAAUGAUGAUGAUUGGGUUCCGGAGGCAGUAAAUUUCAGAUUAUCAACAGUGAAUAAUUCAAUGCGUAAUCUCAAAGUUAAUGAGUUAAUCGAUAACAAUACCAGGCUUUGGAAGAAGGAGUUGAUAAAUAAUACCUUCACAGAAGAAGAUGCUGCAAGAAUUCUUCGAAUCCCUCUGGCACGAACGCCUCACGAGGAUUUCCUCAUCUUGGGAGGUGAGUUGACGGGUGAAUUCACGGUCCGAAGUGCUUAUAAACUAUUACAGAGUUCGAAUGAAGACCCUAGCGCUUAUACGUUACAACUUAUCUAUAGGAAAUUCUACAAAAAACUUUGGAGCCUAAAUCUACCAGCUAAAANNNNNNNNNNNNNNNNNNNNNNNNNNNNNNNNNNNNNNNNNNNNNNNNNNNNNNNNNNNNNNNNNNNNNNNNNNNNNNNNNNNNNNNNNNNNNNNNNNNNNNNNNNNNNNNNNNNNNNNNNNNNNNNNNNNNNNNNNNNNNNNNNNNNNNNNNNNNNNNNNNNNNNNNNNNNNNNNNNNNNNNNNNNNNNNNNNNNNNNNNNNNNNNNNNNNNNNNNNNNNNNNNNNNNNNNNNNNNNNNNNNNNNNNNNNCCUGGGUAUUUGAACAACUCAAUCCUUGUCAAAGUCGUUUAUUCUGCUGCGAUCUAUGGGCCAUAUGGGGAGAUCGAAACAGAAGAAUACACGAAGGAAAAGUUAGCAACGGCAAAGAAACUGCAAAUUUCAUCAACAAUUACAUUACUGAGUUAACUCACUUUGAAAGAAGGAAAUCGAAAAAAAUCACAGGAAAGCAAAGAUGGCAGCAUCCACAUCGUGAGUUUAUAACAAUAAAUUUUGAUGGAGCAUAUCAUGAAAGUCAGUAUUGCUCAGCCAUAGGUAUUGUGGCCAGUGAUGCCGAAGGAAGUGUUUUGUUAUCCUAUUCAGAGUUACAGAAAGACAUUACCUCUGCAUUUGCCGCUGAAGCAAUAGCUUGUUGGAGAGCAGUCUAAAUCAGAGUCGAUCGGGGAUGGCAAUCAAUCAUUUUUUAGGGAGAUUCCCUCGCAAUAAUUAAAAAAUGCAAUACCACAGGUCAAGAUCGAUCAAUGAUAGGGGUUUAUAUUCAUGAUAUCCAACAGGAAAUCAGUAAGUUUAAUAAAGUCAGAUUUCAGCACACACCAAGAUCUGCAAAUAAUCUCGCACACAUUCUUGCAACGAAAACCCUAAAGAGGAAAGAGGAGAUUUACCUUGAAAUGGAGGUCCCUGAGUAUGCAAAGAAGCAGAGAAGAUAUGACUGGUUGCGUGAACCAGACUAGAAAAUGACAGAAGAUGAGGGAAGAAAGGAAGAAAUGCUUCAAAACUAAAGAAAGUGAAACGGUUCAAAAGAAGCUUUGCCAGAGAAAUCGUCGAAAUGGAAAUGAAAUGAUGGGAAGACGAAAUGACAGAUUUCAGCAAAUUUUGAUUGGGCAUUUAGUCGGUGCUUUUAUUAUAGGUUCCAGAACUCUCUUUUUUCAUAUCUCUCUUUUUAAUAUCUUGAUUUUUUCAACUUUGGCCAUCUGUUUUGGGCCGGGUUUUUCUAGGAUAAUAGGUUUAUAAGUUUUGUCAUACUGUUUUCUAUUAAUAAAGCCCAUUCUUAAUUUUUUUCAAAAAAAAAACUUUUUACAAUUCCUAAUAACUUUUAUAAAUUUUUAGAGCUUUUAUAUUUUCUUUUACAAUUUUAAAAUAUUCUAACAUAUUUUUAAAAAUAUUAAGAACAUGUAACGUUAGGGAUUGAACUGGAAAUGUCUAAUAACAUUAGAGAUUGAGAUGAGUCAAAAAAAACCUUUAACUAUCAAUUGGAAAAAAGGUACGUACGGUAGGAGUUAAGGUAUGCAUUAAGCCAUUACACUUUAAUUAAAUUUGAAGUUGAAUCAAGUCAAAUAUUUGAAUGAGAGAUAAAACUCUCUCAAUGUUGUUUUCUUCUUUUACAAAACUUGAAUCCAAAAUCUAAAAUAAAAUACGUUAAACUUUUUUAACUACAAUUGUUUUUAUAUUUUUUAUGUCCAUUUUAAUUCAAUGUCGUAUCUAAAAUUUAAAUUUGCAUCUCUUCCUAAAAGUAUAAUAUACCUUAGACCGUACCCAACACAUAUUAUAAAUUCAUUUUUUAACUACUUAAUUACAGGGGAGGAGGGACUUGACAUCAUUGGGAUAAUCAUGGGUCGUUAGUAAUGUUUUCCUUUGCUGAAUUUAUGUAGAUUUGGAAGCUCUUAAAAUGGGCAAAUUAGAGUUGUAGUGGCAUAUGAUUUUUCCCUUAAUUAAUUUUCAUAUACACUGCCAAAAACUAGGUAGGCAGUGGCAUAAUCUCUUGCAACUCCGUCAUCUCGUUUCCAUGUUGAUUUGAUCUUUCCGUUUCCGUCCAUGUGGGAAAUGAAAAAGUCGUUUUGCAUGUCACUUGUCUCGACACCUUUCCAUACCAAAUGGCUGUUUUCAAACUUUAACUCACCUCCUUAGAAAACUGGUUGUUAAGAAAUGGAUGAAAACCAAAAACAUUACAUAAAGGAAGGGGAGAACUGAAGAACACAUAUACAUAGAACCAAAAACAAAAAGAUCACAUGGGUUCUGAAAAGCAAGGGUUUAUAUGGUUAUCAGGGCUUUUGUUUCUGAAUAUCUUUGUCUUAUCCACAGCCGAUGUCCACUAUUACGAGUUUUCUGUAAGUUCCUUGCAUGUUCCCCCUUUUCUGUUUGUGUUAAUAAGAGAGAGCAGUGCUGAAUUUUCAUUUUGGGUUUUGUUUAAAUUAGUUGCAAGAAUCCCCGUUCACAAAGCUGUGUAGCACGAAGAUCAUCUUGACCCUCAAUGGCAGCUUUCCAGGGCCUGAGAUUCGGGUUCGCAGAGGGGACACAGUUUUUGUCAACGUCCACAAUCAAGGAAACCAUGCUGUAUCCCUCAAGUGGUAAUAUAUACAUACAUGUAUAUGCUUACACACCUUGUUUAUGAUGAAACAAUUAGUCAUAUAUAUAUAGCUAUGUUUGUGGGUUUUUAGGGAGGGAGUUAAGGGUUCAAUUGAUGGUUCGAAUGAGUUGAUUCAGCCAGGGAGAAACUUCACUUACAAGAUAGAGUUAAAGGAUGAAAUAGGAACUCUGAGGUGGCACGCUACCAGUGCUUGGGCUGCUGCAACCGUCCAUGGUGCCUUUGUCAUUUUGCCAGUAGCCACUGAAGACUAUCCUUUCCCUGCACCUACUUCUGAUCAAACAAUUAUACUUGGUACAUCUGAUUAACAUGUUUGAUUCAUAUAUUUUGCAAAUUAAUUGCUUAUAUGAAUGUUUUGGCAUAAUAUUCCGUUAGGGGAAUGGUUCAGGGAAGAGUUAACGGAAGCUAAUCAAACCAUAACUCCUGGCUCAGCAGAUGCUUACACUAUCAAUGGCCACCCCGGAGAAACAUAUGGAUGCAGCAACGGUACGUAUCCGCUAUUGUUUAGACUUUUUCUUUUCCUGGUAUCUGAUAUCUGGUAAUGACUUAGGCCUCACUGUUUCCAAGUUAAGUCAGGUCGGAUAUUCAUAAGACUAAAAUCCGAGAUGUUGGACCCGUCAAAUCUUGUUUUUUUUUUUUUUAUAACUCUAUUUUAUACUUUUAAUACGUAAGUUUGCAUCACAUGAAUUAAGCAUCCUCUUCCCUAGGCCAUACAGCAUGAAAUGAAAGCUGAUAAUAGAUUAAUUUUUAUGCAGAAACCUUUACUAUGAAUGCUAAUAAUCCAACAAUUUUGAUGUUGUAGAUACAACUUUUGAGAUGCAAGUAGAUUACGAGGGCCUUUACCUUGUUGGCGUAAUAAAUGCUGUUGCCAAUGAAACAAUGGUGUUUGACAUCGAAAACCACAGAUUGACCAUUGUCGGACAAAAUGGGACCUAUACCAAUCGUUCCUUUACAAAUUCUUUAACCCUAGCCCCAGGCCAAGUUAUUGACGUCUUGUUGCUUCCAAACCAAAAUGUUGGCCAUUAUUACAUCACUGCUCGAUCUUCCUCCGGCACACAUAUUACCAAUGGAAUUCUGCGAUA
rnacentral:lncRNA from 1 species